CCUACGGGAGGCAGCAGUGGGGAAUAUUGCACAAUGGGGGAAACCCUGAUGCAGCGACGCCGCGUGAGUGAAGAAGCGUUUCGGCGCGUAAAGCUCUGUCAGCGGGGAAGAAACACGGUUCGCGAGAGCCGCGGACGGUACCCGACCAAGAACCCCCGGCUAACGACGUGCGAGCAGCCGCGGUAAUACGUAGGGGUCAAGCGUUAUCCGGAUGCACUGGGUGUAAAGGGAGCGUAGACGGCGAGGCAAGGCUGGAGGGAAAGGGCGGGGCCCAAACCCGGGACUGCUAUGGAAACUGCCGGGCUGGAGUACAGGAGAGGUAAGUGGAAUUCCUAGUGUAGCGGUGAAAUGCGUAGAUAUUAGGAGGAACACCAGUGGCGAAGGCGGCUUACUGGACUGUAACUGACGUUGAGGCUCGAAAGCGUGGGGAGCAAACAGGAUUAGAUACCCGGGUAGUC
rnacentral:rRNA from 1 species